AACGAACGCUGGCGGCAUGCCUAACACAUGCAAGUCGAACGAGACCUUCGGGUCUAGUGGCGCACGGGUGCGUAACGCGUGGGAAUCUGCCCUUGGGUUCGGAAUAACACAGAGAAAUUUGUGCUAAUACCGGAUGAUGACGAAAGUCCAAAGAUUUAUCGCCCAAGGAUGAGCCCGCGUAGGAUUAGGUAGUUGGUGGGGUAAAGGCCCACCAAGCCGACGAUCCUUAGCUGGUCUGAGAGGAUGAUCAGCCACACUGGGACUGAGACACGGCCCAGACUCCUACGGGAGGCAGCAGUGGGGAAUAUUGGACAAUGGGCGAAAGCCUGAUCCAGCAAUGCCGCGUGAGUGAUGAAGGCCUUAGGGUUGUAAAGCUCUUUUACCAGGGAUGAUAAUGACAGUACCUGGAGAAUAAGCUCCGGCUAACUCCGUGCCAGCAGCCGCGG
rnacentral:rRNA from 1 species